UACGUAGGGUGCGAGCGUUGUCCGGAAUUACUGGGCGUAAAGAGCUCGUAGGUGGUUUGUCGCGUUGUUCGUGAAAACUCACAACUCAAUUGUGGGCGUGCGGGCGAUACGGGCAGACUGGAGUACUGCAGGGGAGACUGGAAUUCCUGGUGUAGGCGGUGGAAUGCGCAGAUAUCAGGAGGAACACCGGUGGCGAAGGCGGGUCUCUGGG
rnacentral:rRNA from 1 species